UUUAAAAGAAGUGGAGGAUCUAUCGGUUUUAUGAGGAAAGAAAAGAUGAGAGGUAUGAUUUUACUACAUGGGAUCAUUGUCAUCCUGAAAAAUGGAGCAGACUCCCUCCAGAUGAUAUUAUACUGUGGAUCAAAAUCUAAAGGGCAGGGGCACCGAGCCUGGCUGAAUGAUUUGCCAGAGAUGCAGAAACUUCUUUGUGAGCUGGAAUUGAAGGAAAGAGAUCCUACACAUAUUCAGAUGUGCCAGCUGUCACUGCUGGAGUUGUCAAAUAGUGAGCCAGAAGAUUCACUCCAUUGUACAACCUCAGCACCGUGAAGGCAGAGCAAAGAAUCAGAAGUUGUCUGGCGACAAAGGUGUUACUCAAAGAAAGCUGACAGCAACAACUCACGGAAGGAUCGAUGGCGGAUUACGAGGCUCAUGGAGCUGCAUAGAGAGGAGGGCUCAGACUGAGGCAGCAGCUCUCAUUAAAGCCCGGCCUGAUCUCAGCCAAGCCCUGGGAAAGGAGGGUGAAAAAGGCAAGAAAAAACAGAGCAGGGAGGAAGAAAAGGGAAAGCUGCAGGAAGAAAAAAACACAGAGAAAAGUUUACUGUCCCCUUUGGACAUGGCCUCUGCUGGACUCUUAUAAAUGGGUAUUGUUCCCCAUGAAGCACACAGCGACUGUUUACAGUUUCCUAUAAAGGAGGGCUUUAUUCCUGCUCAGGGAUGCAUUGUGACAAGAUAAUUUGAAUAGCUGAGGUCUUACCACAAAGCUAUAAACAUUUACGGGCAGUUGACACGGAGAAUAAAGAAUGAGCCACGUAACCUCUGCAAGAUGCCGGCCUGACUCCUGAUGACACAGCCAAAGCUCAGUCGACUACUUCCAAACUCUGCCGCCGUCCUCAACACGCUGGCAGACGGGGCGAGGAGGAGAGACAAACGCAGAGAGGAAAAUGCAAACAAGCACAUAAACAGGAGCAAAAGGAAGACAGAUAACUAAAGAGAGGCGAUGCAGGUCUCCGACGUCCCCUUUGACUCGUUCCACAAUGAAAUGGCGGUGUCUUGUUUUUAUGUUUUAUCACAGAAGUCGACCGCGGGAGCAGACCCACGGGAGCAGCCAGACAUGAGGCUGAAUUCGAUUAGACGGUAAUCGGAGAUGGACAGGCAGUGGUGCAGUCAGCGCCCGCGAGCCGAGGGGACUCCAUAAGCAAACUAUCCCCAUGACUUUCUCGUUUCACGCGAUCCGUCGCGGUGGCCUUUAUGAGUGUUUAUAAUCCACGACUUAGCUGGGUUUCGAGCUUUGUUUUAACUCUCAAAACCAUCCUCUGGAGUGCGCGCAGUAAUAAUAUCAGGACUCAGAUCCAUUAAUGAAUUACCAACCUCAUCUCACUGCUGCUGCCAUCUCCACAGGCUUAAGUAGGGAAACUGAGGUCUUGGGGAAUUAGUCACAUUGGAUUGCAUUUUCUUUGAGACUUUCCCAUCUACACACAAUCUUCCACCUCUCUAUCUUUCCAGCUCUCACUGCUACAAAGUUGUGUUUCCUUUUUCCCUUUUUUCUCCUCGUGCCUUACUUGGCAUUCUGUUCAUUCUCCAAGAUGUUUCCAGCGUAACCAAUGAUUAACAAUUACGCCAGUGCAUCUAAUUAAUGCCGGCUAAUUACGAGGUUGAGAUGCUGACGGGGAAUGGGGGGUAGGACUAGGAGAUUGCAGCAUCAGAAAUAAUCAGGAGAGAAGAAGAGGCUGUAGCAAAAAGCCACAAAAAAACAGAAGAAGAUGAAGAGAGGGAGAAGAUGGGAAACGAGUGUCUUAAUUGGCGUGCUCAGUUUUUGUCUCAGGACCCUGAGCUUAUUACAUUAAAAAAAAAUGGAUAAGUUGUGCAUAAAAUUGUUAUACUCACUCAUCUAAUUUAUUAGCCAUGUGCAUCACAUUAAAGAAAAAAUAAAAGGGAUACACAGGAUGUCUGUUUUCCCACUUCUGAACUGGAUGGGAAUUAAGUUCAAACCACGCGAGGUCCCUGGAGUGGCGGGGAAACGCCAGCCAUAAUUACGUCCAUAAAAUGCCCACAGAUUUUUAAUGUUAAACUAAUUUGCUGUUCAUUUGUCAAGAGCUGGUAAACCGAAAUAGCCAACGCAUGCACGACACACGCACACACACUUCGACCUUUAAUAUAUAUAUAAAUCACACCAACUAACGAUCGCUCUCUCUUCAUUUACCCUGUUUCUUUUUUCCUUCUUUUACAGUCCACACACCAUAGACCUCUGCCCAGUUCCCCACCUCAAGCAAUACUUCAUUGGGAAAAUAGCCAAGAAAAACGAGCUCUCUCCACGGCUCAUAAUGAGGCUGCACGGAGCGUUCAUUAGCAUAGUCAGUGUCUACCGUCCUACAGUAUAUCGGGGCGUUAUGUUCAGUGACGUUUUUAUUCCUACAACUAUUCUGUAAGGGCUCCAUAAUACUGUCCAAGAAAGAAAACACAUCAUAUAUUAAAGGGACAUAAUUCCUGCUUCCUAUUCAAAUGAGCACAUCUGAAGAGAGCAAAGAUGGAAGAGGGGGAAAAAAGAAAAAGGAAAGGGGGGUGGUUGGGGAAUUACCCGGAGAAUAGCAAUUAUAUUCAGAGGAACCAAUUUAGAGUGCAUGUUUGUUGUUUUUUAUCUUUUGGCUCAGAGAAGAGGUAGGAGGCUGCGCAGCUCGGAGCGGUGACACGGGUCCUCCUCAGUCUUCCGAAGUGCAUUAAACUAAAUGAUUGACAAUGAUUGAAACCACAUGGAGCCCGAGGCAAAUUACCAGGGGUGAGACUUCAUUGUGCAGAUCUGCUGCCGAGCUGCUUUCACAAUUCAUGUUUAGAGUGGGGUGGGGGGCUUUCUGCAAAAAGGGAUAUUUGUUAGUCAUACAAAUGUAACAUAAAGUUCAAGAGGAGGACGGCGUAAAGAAACGUUUCCGCAUCCUGUAAGACAGGAUGUAGCUCUCAGUGGGUUGUGAGAGGCUGAGCUAACACUGCGGCCUGCUCAAACACAAUCAGAACAGCAGCAGGUGAAGUCAGGGCCAACAAGCUCGACUCCAGGGAUGUUUGUCAUCGGGUGUUGAACAGGGCGGGUGGCGGUGGUGGGGAAGUGGAGGGGUAUGUUUAGCGCUGUCAAAGCGAGCUAUUUGUGUUUGAGAUGCUGCAUUGAAUAGCGCUUCCACCUGGCAGAACUCAGCCUGAGUGGAUUUCCAUCUAUUUUCCAAGUCCUCACCCUUUUAGUGUCAAGGUAGGAAGCGUUAAGUUCGAUGGGAAUCUUAAAUAGCAAAUCAAUAGCGCGGCAUUUAUUUAUUUAUUUUCAUUCAGGAAGUUGCAUCUUAGUCAAUAUCCUGCAUCAUUCAUCCUCACCUCCAUCUUCCUCGCAGCGCCGUCGAGCCUCGCGUGCACAUCUGACCUCGUUAAGUUCAAAUGAAAAUGUGCAGAAUAAUCAGCGGCUCCCAUCAAAAGCAAACAAAAAAGAGCGAGAGAGAGAGAGAAAUGGGAAAUUUUAGGAGUGUUUCAAGCCCACCCAUGAAAAAUAAACAUUAAAAUUCAAGGAUUGCGUGCAGUCUUUUUUUUGUAAAGCCUUCUCUUUACUUAAAAGUCCAUUAAGUUGUAGCAAGCUGUGAAUGGUGCGCAUUUAAAUGUGAGCAGAGACGCAUAUUAAACCCUUGCUUUUCAUAAGUGACAUUUUUGUUAACGGCAGCUUAAGACUGAUUUCUUUUUGAGUUCGGAGAAGCUGAACUUUGGGCAUUUAGUCGCCGGCUCUCGACAGAAGUAAAUGUCCAGUUAAUUAGUUUCCAGGGUGUACGGGGCAUUUGCAAGCAGGAAGAAGAAAAGGGGGAAAAAAGCAACCGUCAGCUGAGUGUGCUUUUCAAAUUCGUGUAGCAAAUGCCUUGGGGUAGGGUGGCGGGAGCCAGAUGUAGUUG